AGCAGGAGGAAAGGUCCAAGUGGAUUAUGCUUCAGGAAACUAAACACUUUUGGAGAGCUCACCAUGGCCUGGACUCUGUUUCUUGUUGCAUUUCUCACUUACUGCUCAGGUGCCAGUUCUCAGCCAAGUUUGACUCAGCCUCCCUCGGCGUCUGUGUCCCUGGGCCAAACAGCUAAACUCUCCUGCUCAAGAAGUGGUGCUAGUAGCUGGGAUGACAUUCACUGGUAUCAACAGAAACCUGGACAGGCUCCUCGCUUCCUGUGGUUCCAGUUUGCAGGCAACGCUGACUCAGCCUCCCUCAGCGUCUGUGUCUCUGGGCCAAACAGUUAAACUCUCCUGCUCUGGAAGCAGUGAUGGGAGCUGGCUCGGCUUCUCCAGGUAUCAACAGAAACCUGGACAGGCCCCUCGCUUUGUGCACUGUAGUAUUUGCAGCAGCAGGGGAGAAGGGAUCCCGGACAGGUUCACUGCUUCUCAGUCCAGGGACACUGGCUCUUUAACCAUCACUAAUGUCCAGGCUGAAGACGAGGCUGGUUAUUAUUGUGCUAAUGCAGAGCUUAGUAGUGGUG